rnacentral:rRNA from 1 species
AACGAACGCUGGCGGCAUGCCUAACACAUGCAAGUCGAACGAGACCUUCGGGUCUAGUGGCGCACGGGUGCGUAACGCGUGGGAACCUGCCCUUAGGUUCGGAAUAACUCCCCGAAAGGGGUGCUAAUACCGGAUAAUGUCUUCGGACCAAAGAUUUAUCGCCUUUGGAUGGGCCCGCGUUGGAUUAGCUAGUUGGUAGGGUAAAAGCCUACCAAGGCGACGAUCCAUAGCUGGUCUGAGAGGAUGAUCAGCCACACUGGGACUGAGACACGGCCCAGACUCCUACGGGAGGCAGCAGUGGGGAAUAUUGGACAAUGGGCGAAAGCCUGAUCCAGCAAUGCCGCGUGAGUGAUGAAGGCCUUAGGGUUGUAAAGCUCUUCUACCCGGGAUGAUAAUGACAGUACAGGGAGAAUAAGCUCCGGCUAACUCCGUG